CGUAAGGUCAUUGACCUCACCGGAGUUUUACCGUGGUUCAGGCUCCUAACGACACAAGCUUGAAGGGGAUGAUGCCGGUUUCAUAUCACUGGACUUAUCCAUGGCAGUAGAGUACAUCCAUGCACAGAGAAUCAUUCACCAGGAUAUAAAGCCAGCAAAUGUCAUGGUUCACCACCCUUCUAAGAAGGCAGUCCUGACAGACUGGGGCAUGGCAAACAUAAGAGACACUGUGAUGCUUCGUCAAGGGAGUAAGUUCACUGCCCAGGCUACUGGUCCAGCUGGUGGCACAUAUCUUUACAUGGCCCCUGAAUGCAUACUGAUGUUUGAAGAGGCCUCGUUCCAGACAGACAUGUGGUCCCUCGGAGCCACAUAUCUGGAGAUCCUGACGGGUUCCGCUCCGUGGAUGGUUAAAAAACAAAGAGA